AAAUAAACCCGAUAGCAGUGGAAAGUUCCGGAUUUUUCAUCGGGACUUGAAACGAAUAGCGGGACUACAG
rnacentral:sRNA from 1 species